ACCAUGUUGGUUUUUGGCAUAAAAAAACCUUAUGAGUGAGGAGAUCUGGGUGACAGGAUGCAUCGUGGUCAUGAAGAAACCAAUUCUUCAAAUUCCACAG